UACGUAGGGGGCUAGCGUUGUCCGGAAUCAUUGGGCGUAAAGCGCGCGUAGGCGGUCAGGUAAGUCCGGUGUGAAAGUCAAAGGCUCAACCUUUGAAUGCCGCUGGAUACUGCUUGACUUGAGUCCGGAAGGGGCGAGUGGAAUUCCUGGUGUAGCGGUGAAAUGCGCAGAUAUCAGGAGGAACACCGACGGCGAAGGCAGCACUCUGGGCCGGUACCGACGCUGAGGAGCGAAAGCAUGGGGAGCGAACAGG
rnacentral:rRNA from 1 species